rnacentral:lncRNA from 1 species
UUGGCAUAACAUUUUCUUCUUUUCUCUCAAUAAAAAACCAACAAAUGGUAUCUGAGCUAAGUUCGAUUGAAAAAACUGGGCGUUCAUAAUAAGCUGCUUACGAGUGAACAAACAAAAAGCAAAAUGGUGGUAUUGCCACCGAAUAUUCUGCUGGUGAAGAUUCUGACGGUGACGAUAAAGCUUUCAAGGGGGAGAACACUGAGAGGUUCAAAGAGAAAAGAAAAAUACAUAGCCACCUUUGGCCUUAAUGUAGCUUUGCCUUGCUCCAACUGGCCUUCAGACACGAUCACCUCUGACCCAUGGAUGAGGAAAAGCCGCCGGAUUACUAUAAAAGGAUUGUAGAUCAUGUUCAUGUUCGGAUAACCUCUGAGUAGCUUUCGUUCCUCGAAAACCCACAGGAAGGGCUUCUCCUGGAUUAGCACGGAUAACCACCAGGAGGUCUUUUGGAAAGGUUAAUAAUAAUCAAAACUUCCUGAAGACGAAUCCAACAAAAUUCAGAGUUGGGCCUUUAAAUAUCCUUCAGAGAAAGUCCAAGUAAAAUAUUCCUCUAACAGAACCUCAUAUCAAUUAUGGGCAGAACAACAGCGAAGUUUUUCUGAGUUAUGUGAUGAGAUUGCAGAUCACAACUAAUUCGUUAUCAAUAGCCAAAUAAAACCAGAACUGAACUUCAAAUUAAAACUAAAAUGUGGUGUCAUAUGGCUGUUUUCGCUAUUUUUUUGGUUAAUAUUAUUAGGUUUCUCAAUCCUUGAUAACAAAUCAAUUAACAGAACAUUGGCACUGAAAGCAGUUUCUCUUUUAUGAAAUAAUUACUGUGUAUACCAUUUUUUUUAUGACAAUCCUAUAAUGUAUUAAUUAAAGAUCAAUAUAUAAGAAACAGUGAGAAAACCAGGAAAAUCACCUUUAUUUAAAACUGUUUCUCGAUAAGAAUUGCCUUCAUACUUUAAUAGUCAUGUUAAGUUCAUGUGUUAAGGACAAAAACCAAUCAUCUGGACAUUCUUUCCUUCAGGUGUUCUUUCCAUUUCGUUCACAACAGGAUUGUUAUACUAUCAAAUUAUAUGUAAAUGCAGAUGCAGUAGGGUUACCAGUCAGAAUUCAGAUAAAAUAAAACCUACAAAAAAGUGUUUAGGGACCUGGCCAACAAAUCAUAUAACUACCUCACUUUGACAGGGUUAUGGAAGGUCACUUUGGCUUAUGCACGGAAUGUUUAGGGCAAAUGGUGGUUGUGGUUAUAUUAAAAAACCAGACUUCUUAUUGAAGGCUGGUCCAGACAACGAGAUCUUUGAUCCUGAAACUGCACUCCCACCCAAGACAAAGUUAAAGGUGAGUAGAGCUCUAUCUUGACCGCAACCGUUUCUUCUUGCUUGUGAAAGUUGUUAAAUUGCAUCCUAGAAGUAUCAUAUCCCAGAUUGAAGUUAUUAAUCUUAUUAAAAUAUAUAAAGCUGACUACUUGAACUCUUUCUAUUGUACAGGUAACUCUGUAUACUGGUGAAGGUUGGUAUAAUGACUUCAAAGAUACGCAUUAUGAUUCAUAUUCUCCCCCCGACUUCUAUGCAAGGGUGAGACCAUACUUUACUUCUUUUAAAUGUGGAUAUUUAGACAAUAGUGUAUUAUAAUUAAGUGUGCAUAUUCUCUAAAUACCUUUAAUAUUUUGGUUUCUGUGAGGUUCUCAUGACCAAUUGAUAUUGUGAUGAGGUUAUUUUCUAUUAAAUAGGAAUUGUAAAUAUAUGCUUUUUGUUGCUUUUGUUUAAUGCAAGUCGAAAUGCAGAUUGGUAUUGCUGGUGUUGAAGCUGAUACUGUGAUGAAAAAAACAAAAACACAGGAAGACACCUGGAUACCAAAUUGGAAUGAAGAGUUUGAAUUUCCAUUAACAAUCCCAGAACUGGCUCUCCUUCGCGUUGAAGUUCAUGAGUAUGACAUGUCUGAAA